rnacentral:rRNA from 1 species
UACGUAGGGUGCGAGCGUUGCCCGGAUUUAUUGGGCGUAAAGGGCGCGUAGGCGGUCACGCACGUCCGUUGUGAAAUCGCUCGGCUCAACUGGGCGGGGUCAGCGGAUACGGCGUGGCUGGAGCAAGCUAGGGGGCAAUGGAAUUCCCGGUGUAGUGGUGGAAUGCGUAGAUAUCGGGAGGAACACCAGUGGCGAAGGCGGUUGCCUGGAGCUUUGCUGACGCUGAUGCGCGAAAGCGUGGGGAGCGAACAGG